rnacentral:sRNA from 1 species
AGAUGCGAAGAUGACCUGGUGGGAGCCUCUUUCCCCAUUGAUAAUCAGGGUUUAUUCCAUUGGUCUGACUGUCCAGACUGGGCUGCUCCUUUCUUACCAUUCCAGGUAAGUUCCACCUGAAAUUGCACUCCCAGGAGAAAAGGGUGACCUUCUCAGAAGAAGGUGGCUUUGCUCCUUGCCAGUGGGAGAACCAUCUUUAUGAAGCUCUGACUGACCACUGUAUCUGGAAAGGAAUGCCCAACUCUCCAAAUCUCUUGGAAGUUUCUUG